rnacentral:tRNA from 1 species
GCAUUGAUAGCUUAAUUUAGAGCAUAGCACUGAAGAUGCUAGGGUGGCAAUAUCUGCCUCAAAGCA